rnacentral:lncRNA from 1 species
UUUUUUUUUUUUUAAAUUUUUUUAAUUUUUUUAAUUUUUUUUUUUUUUUAAUGAAAAGGUAGGCUACACCCUUUAAGUAGCAUGGUAUGUAUUUCACUUUUUUAAUUACUUUGAUUAGUAAAGGAGAAAAAGAAGAAGAGAAAAUUGAAUUACUAUUCAUUAAGUAAUAUAAUUCAUGAAGUUAAUUAAAAUAUUUAAUCAUAAUCAGUCAUUAAAUAAAUAAACUAAUUAAAAUAUAAUUGCUAAUUCAACUAAUUAAAUCUCCAAAUAUAUUAUGCAGUUACUAAAAAUAAAAUUUUUAUAAAUUAAUUAACCUAAACAUCCUAAGUUUAUACUUAUUUUUUAAAAUUAAGACCUUUCCCGACGAACUUUCGUCGGCAAAGAUAUUUUCGUCGGGGGAAACCUAAUCCGGCAAAUUUUGUCGGCAUAGAUCUUUGCCGACGAAAUUUCGUCGGGAGAAGUGUUCAUGUGUUUUUUUUUUUUUUUGAAAAGUAUAAAGUUUAAAAAUAUGGAUAUGUUUAAACUAGCAAAUUAAUAUCUAUAAAGUACAAGCUAAUGCAACUUGGAGGGUCCUUCUUUCUUUUAUUUAUUUAUUAAAUACUAUAUUUACAUAGUAUAGCCGUGCGGCUGUACUGUAUUUUUCUUUUUUAAAAAUAGUCUAGCCGGGCGGCUAUACUUUUUGGGGACACGUGGCGCCUAAUCGCUGGAGGCUCCUUUUUUAAGACCAAAAAAUAGUACAGCCGCACGGCUAUACUCGGUGUUUUUUAAAAAGUCGACACGUGGCGCCUUUUUUUAUUAAAAAUAGUAUAGCCGCACGGCUAUACUCAGUUUUAUUUUUUUUUUUUAAAUUUUUUUUUUUUUUUUUUUUUUUUAAUGAAAAGGUAGGCUACACACUUUAAGUAGCAUGGUAUGUAUUUCACUUUUUUAAUUACUUUGAUUAGUAAAGGAGAAAAAGAAGAAGAGAAAAUUGAAUUACUAUUCAUUAAGUAAUAUAAUUCAUGAAGUUAAUUAAAAUAUUUAAUCAUAAUCAGUCAUUAAAUAAAUAAACUAAUUAAAAUAUAAUUGCUAAUUCAACUAAUUAAAUCUCCAAAUAUAUUAUGUAGUUACUAAAAAUAAAAUUUUUAUAAAUUAAUUAACCUAAACAUCCUAAGUUUAUACUUAUUUUUUAAAAUUAAGACCUUUCCCGACGAAAUUUCGUCGGCAAAGAUAUUUUCGUCGGGGGAAACCUAAUCCGGCAAAUUUUGUCGGCAUAGAUCUUUGCCGACGAAAUUUCGUCGGGAGAAGUGUUCAUGUGUUUUUUUUUUUUUUCAAAAGUAUAAAGUUUAAAAAUAUGGAUAUGUUUAAACUAGCAAAUUAAUAUCUAUAAAGUACAAGCUAAUGCAACUUGGAGGGUCCUUCUUUCUUUUAUUUAUUUAUUAAAUACUAUAUUUACAUAGUAUCGCCGUGCGGCUGUACUAUAUUUUUCUUUUUGAAAAAUAGUCUAGCCGGGCGGCUAUACUUUUUGGGGACACGUGGCGCCUAAUCGCUGGAGGCUCCUUUUUUAAGACCAAAAAAUAGUACAGCCGCACGGCUAUACUCGGUGUUUUUUAAAAAGUCGACACGUGGCGCCUUUUUAUAUUAAAAAUAGUAUAGCCGCACGGCUAUACUCAGUUUUUUUUUUUUUUUUUUAAUUUUUUUAAUUUUUUAAAUUUUUUUUUUUUUUUUUUAAUGAAAAGGUAGGCUACACCCUUUAAGUAGCAUGGUAUGUAUUUCACUUUUUUAAUUACUUUGAUUAGUAAAGGAGAAAAAGAAGAAGAGAAAAAUUGAAUUACUAUUCAUUAAGUAAUAUAAUUCAUGAAGUUAAUUAAAAUAUUUAAUCAUAAUCAGUCAUUAAAUAAAUAAACUAAUUAAAAUAUAAUUGCUAAUUCAACUAAUUAAAUCUCCAAAUAUAUUAUGUAGUUACUAAAAAUAAAAUUUUUAUAAAUUAAUUAACCUAAACAUCCUAAGUUUAUACUUAUUUUUUAAAAUUAAGACCUUUCCCGACGAAAUUUCGUCGGCAAAGAUAUUUUCGUCGGGGGAAAC